UACGUAGGGUGCGAGCGUUAAUCGGAAUUACUGGGCGUAAAGUGUGCGCAGGCGGCCGAGCAAGUCGAGUGUGAAAGCCCCGGGCUUAACUUGGGAAUUGCGCUCGAAACUACUUGGCUGGAGUGUGGCAGAGGAAGGUGGAAUUCCAGGUGUAGCGGUGAAAUGCGUAGAUAUCGGGAGGAACACCAGUGGCGAAGGCGGUUGCCUGGAGCUUUGCUGACGCUGAGGCGCGAAAGCGUGGGGAGCGAUCCGG
rnacentral:rRNA from 1 species